rfam:Gossypium arboreum cultivar AKA8401 contig_60231_1, whole genome shotgun sequence.
AAUCUGUGGUGUGAGCAUUUUUUGAAUCAACAUUUUGAAGCGUUCCCAUGCCCCAUAGAAAUUUUCUUCCUCAUUUUCCUGAAGACAACAAUCUCUCUUCUUAGUUG